GGUUAAGCGACUAAGCGUACACGGUGGAUGCCCUGGCAGUCAGAGGCGAUGAAGGACGUGCUAAUCUGCGAUAAGCGUCGGUAAGGUGAUAUGAACCGUUAUAACCGGCGAUUUCCGAAUGGGGAAACCCAGUGUGUUUCGACACACUAUCAUUAACUGAAUCCAUAGGUUAAUGAGGCGAACCGGGGGAACUGAAACAUCUAAGUACCCCGAGGAAAAGAAAUCAACCGAGAUUCCCCCAGUAGCGGCGAGCGAACGGGGAGCAGCCCAGAGUCUGAAUCAGUGUGUGUGUUAGUGGAAGCGUCUGGAAAGGCGCGCGAUACAGGGUGACAGCCCCGUACACAAAAAUGCACAUGCUGUGAGCUCGAUGAGUAGGGCGGGACACGUGGUAUCCUGUCUGAAUAUGGGGGGACCAUCCUCCAAGGCUAAAUACUCCUGACUGACCGAUAGUGAACCAGUACCGUGAGGGAAAGGCGAAAAGAACCCCGGCGAGGGGAGUGAAAAAGAACCUGAAACCGUGUACGUACAAGCAGUGGGAGCCUCUUUAUGGGGUGACUGCGUACCUUUUGUAUAAUGGGUCAGCGACUUAUAUUCUGUAGCAAGGUUAACCGAAUAGGGGAGCCGAAGGGAAACCGAGUCUUAACUGGGCGUUAAGUUGCAGGGUAUAGACCCGAAACCCGGUGAUCUAGCCAUGGGCAGGUUGAAGGUUGGGUAACACUAACUGGAGGACCGAACCGACUAAUGUUGAAAAAUUAGCGGAUGACUUGUGGCUGGGGGUGAAAGGCCAAUCAAACCGGGAGAUAGCUGGUUCUCCCCGAAAGCUAUUUAGGUAGCGCCUCGUGAAUUCAUCUCCGGGGGUAGAGCACUGUUUCGGCAAGGGGGUCAUCCCGACUUACCAACCCGAUGCAAACUGCGAAUACCGGAGAAUGUUAUCACGGGAGACACACGGCGGGUGCUAACGUCCGUCGUGAAGAGGGAAACAACCCAGACCGCCAGCUAAGGUCCCAAAGUCAUGGUUAAGUGGGAAACGAUGUGGGAAGGCCCAGACAGCCAGGAUGUUGGCUUAGAAGCAGCCAUCAUUUAAAGAAAGCGUAAUAGCUCACUGGUCGAGUCGGCCUGCGCGGAAGAUGUAACGGGGCUAAACCAUGCACCGAAGCUGCGGCAGCGACACUGUGUGUUGUUGGGUAGGGGAGCGUUCUGUAAGCCUGCGAAGGUGUGCUGUGAGGUAUGCUGGAGGUAUCAGAAGUGCGAAUGCUGACAUAAGUAACGAUAAAGCGGGUGAAAAGCCCGCUCGCCGGAAGACCAAGGGUUCCUGUCCAACGUUAAUCGGGGCAGGGUGAGUCGACCCCUAAGACGAGGCCGAAAGGCGUAGUCGAUGGGAAACAGGUUAAUAUUCCUGUACUUGGUGUUACUGCGAAGGGGGGACGGAGAAGGCUAUGUUGGCCGGGCGACGGUUGUCCCGGUUUAAGCGUGUAGGCUGGUUUUCCAGGCAAAUCCGGAAAAUCAAGGCUGAGGCGUGAUGACGAGGCACUACGGUGCUGAAGCAACAAAUGCCCUGCUUCCAGGAAAAGCCUCUAAGCAUCAGGUAACAUCAAAUCGUACCCCAAACCGACACAGGUGGUCAGGUAGAGAAUACCAAGGCGCUUGAGAGAACUCGGGUGAAGGAACUAGGCAAAAUGGUGCCGUAACUUCGGGAGAAGGCACGCUGAUAUGUAGGUGAAGCGACUUGCUCGUGGAGCUGAAAUCAGUCGAAGAUACCAGCUGGCUGCAACUGUUUAUUAAAAACACAGCACUGUGCAAACACGAAAGUGGACGUAUACGGUGUGACGCCUGCCCGGUGCCGGAAGGUUAAUUGAUGGGGUCAGCGCAAGCGAAGCUCUUGAUCGAAGCCCCGGUAAACGGCGGCCGUAACUAUAACGGUCCUAAGGUAGCGAAAUUCCUUGUCGGGUAAGUUCCGACCUGCACGAAUGGCGUAAUGAUGGCCAGGCUGUCUCCACCCGAGACUCAGUGAAAUUGAACUCGCUGUGAAGAUGCAGUGUACCCGCGGCAAGACGGAAAGACCCCGUGAACCUUUACUAUAGCUUGACACUGAACAUUGAGCCUUGAUGUGUAGGAUAGGUGGGAGGCUUAGAAGUGUGGACGCCAGUCUGCAUGGAGCCGACCUUGAAAUACCACCCUUUAAUGUUUGAUGUUCUAACGUUGACCCGUAAUCCGGGUUGCGGACAGUGUCUGGUGGGUAGUUUGACUGGGGCGGUCUCCUCCUAAAGAGUAACGGAGGAGCACGAAGGUUGGCUAAUCCUGGUCGGACAUCAGGAGGUUAGUGCAAUGGCAUAAGCCAGCUUGACUGCGAGCGUGACGGCGCGAGCAGGUGCGAAAGCAGGUCAUAGUGAUCCGGUGGUUCUGAAUGGAAGGGCCAUCGCUCAACGGAUAAAAGGUACUCCGGGGAUAACAGGCUGAUACCGCCCAAGAGUUCAUAUCGACGGCGGUGUUUGGCACCUCGAUGUCGGCUCAUCACAUCCUGGGGCUGAAGUAGGUCCCAAGGGUAUGGCUGUUCGCCAUUUAAAGUGGUACGCGAGCUGGGUUUAGAACGUCGUGAGACAGUUCGGUCCCUAUCUGCCGUGGGCGCUGGAGAACUGAGGGGGGCUGCUCCUAGUACGAGAGGACCGGAGUGGACGCAUCACUGGUGUUCGGGUUGUCAUGCCAAUGGCACUGCCCGGUAGCUAAAUGCGGAAGAGAUAAGUGCUGAAAGCAUCUAAGCACGAAACUUGCCCCGAGAUGAGUUCUCCCUGACUCCUUGAGAGUCCUGAAGGAACGUUGAAGACGACGACGUUGAUAGGCCGGGUGUGUAAGCGCAGCGAUGCGUUGAGCUAACCGGUACUAAUGAACCGUGAGGCUUAACCUU
rnacentral:rRNA from 1 species